rnacentral:rRNA from 1 species
UACGUAGGGGCCGAGCGUUGUCCGGAGUUAUUGGGCGUAAAGCGCGCGCAGGCGGCUUGGCGCGCCCGACGUGAAAGCCCCCGGCUUAACCGGGGAGGGUCGUCGGGUACGGUCAGGCUUGAGGGCGGGAGAGGGUGGUGGAAUUCCCGGUGUAGUGGUGAAAUGCGUAGAGAUCGGGAGGAACACCUGUGGCGAAGGCGGCUUCCUGGACACCAACUGACGCUGAGACGCGAAAGCGUGGGGAGCAAACAGG